GACGAACGCUGGCGGCGUGCCUAAUACAUGCAAGUCGAGCGAAGUUUUUCUGGUGCUUGCACUAGAAAAACUUAGCGGCGAACGGGUGAGUAACACGUAAAGAACCUGCCUCAUAGACGGGGACAACUACUGGAAACGAUAGCUAAUACCGGAUAACAGCAUAAAUCGCAUGAUAUAUGUUUAAAAGUUGGUUUCGGCUAACACUAUGAGAUGGCUUUGCGGUGCAUUAGCUAGUUGGUGGGGUAAAGGCCUACCAAGGCGACGAUGCAUAGCCGACCUGAGAGGGUGAUCGGCCACACUGGGACUGAGACACGGCCCAGACUCCUACGGGAGGCAGCAGUAGGGAAUCUUCCGCAAUGGGCGAAAGCCUGACGGAGCAACGCCGCGUGAGUGAAGAAGGAUUUCGGUUCGUAAAGCUCUGUUGUUAGGGAAGAAUGAUUGUAUAGUAACUAUAUACAG
rnacentral:rRNA from 1 species